rnacentral:rRNA from 1 species
AAGUUCAAGCAGGCAGAUCCAAUUUUCUGCCACCGAAUACAUUAGCAUGGGAUAAUGGAAUAGGACCCUGUCCUCCUAUUUUCAGUUGGUUUUGGCAGCGCGAGGACUAGGGUAAUGAUUAAUAGGGAUAGUUGGGGGCAUUAAUAUUUAAUUGUCAGAGGUGAAAUUCUUGGAUUUAUGAAAGAUUAACUUCUGCGAAAGCAUCUGCCAAGGAUGUUUUCAUUAAUCAAGAACGAAAGUUAGGGGAUCGAAGACGAUCAGAUACCGUCGUAGUCUUAACCAUAAACGAUGCCGACCAGCGAUUAGGAGACGUUGAAUACAAAACACCACCAUCGGUUGCGCGGUCAUCCUUGGCGUCUCGGUUUCGGCCGGGGCGCGGGGAUGGCUUAGCCCGGUGGCACCGGUGAAUGACUCCCCUAGCAGCUUGUGAGAAAA